CCUACGGGUGGCAGCAGUGGGGAAUAUUUGGCAAUGGGCGCAAGCCUGACCCAGCAACGCCGCGUGAAGGAAGAAGGGUUUCGGGUUGUAAACUUCUUUUCUCAGGGACGAAAGAAAUGACGGUACCUGAGGAAUAAGCCACGGCUAACUACGUGCCAGCAGCCGCGGUAAUACGUAGGGGGCAAGCGUUAUCCGGAUUUACUGGGUGUAAAGGGUGUGUAGGCGGGAGCGUAAGUCAGAUGUGAAAACUUAGGGCUUAACCCUGAGACUGCAUUUGAAACUUUGUAGCUUGAGUGCUGGAGAGGCAAGCGGAAUUCCGAGUGUAGCGGUGAAAUGCGUAGAUAUUAGGAGGAACACCAGUGGCGAAGGCGGAUUGCUGGACAGAAACUGACGCUGAGGCGCGAAAGCGUGGGGAGCAAACAGGAUUAGAUACCCUAGUAGUC
rnacentral:rRNA from 1 species